GAUGGUAUAGCUCAGUGGUAGAGUGCAUGCCAAGCAUGCAGGAGGUCCUGGGUUCAAUUCCCAGUACCUCUG
rnacentral:tRNA from 1 species